rnacentral:rRNA from 1 species
UACGGAGGAUGCGAGCGUUAUCCGGAUUCAUUGGGUUUAAAGGGUGCGCAGGCGGCUGCCUAAGUCAGCGGUGAAAGCCAGGGGCCCAACCCCGGAAGUGCCGUUGAUACUGGGUGGCUGGAAUGCGGUCGAGGGGGGCGGAAUGUGGUGUGUAGCGGUGAAAUGCAUAGAUAUGCCACAGAACGCCGAUAGCGAAGGCAGCUCGCCAGGCCUGCAUUGACGCUCGGGCACGAAAGCGUGGGGAUCGAAC